rnacentral:misc_RNA from 1 species
GGAGUAAAAGUCGUAACAAGGUUUCCGUAGGUGAACCUGCGGAAGGAUCCUUAUUGUAUAACCGAGGUGCGAGGGCUGUCGCUGACCCGAAAGGUCGUGCACGCCCGAGUGCCCUCACACACAUCCAUCUCACCCCUAUGUGCACCACCGCGUGGGUCCCCCUUUGGCUUGUUCGGAGGGGGGCUUACGUUUUCACACAAACUUUGUAUGCAGUGUAGAAUGUAUUUUUUGUUUUUGCGAUCACGCAAUCAAUACAACUUUCAACAACGGAUCUCUUGGCUCUC